rnacentral:tRNA from 1 species
GGAGGGUACAGCUCAGUGGUAGAGCGCAUGCUUUGCAUGCACGAGUUCUUGGGUUCAAUCCCCAGGACCUCCU